rnacentral:piRNA from 1 species
UGACCUGGAAACCACACUCUUGUCA